rnacentral:rRNA from 1 species
AUUGAACGCUGGCGGCAGGCUUAACACAUGCAAGUCGAGCGGGGUGAUGGUGCUUGCACUAUCACUUAGCGGCGGACGGGUGAGUAAUGCUUAGGAAUCUGCCUAUUAGUGGGGGACAACAUCUCGAAAGGGAUGCUAAUACCGCAUACGUCCUACGGGAGAAAGCAGGGGAUCACUUGUGACCUUGCGCUAAUAGAUGAGCCUAAGUCGGAUUAGCUAGUUGGUGGGGUAAAGGCCUACCAAGGCGACGAUCUGUAGCGGGUCUGAGAGGAUGAUCCGCCACACGGGGAAUGAGACACGGCCCAGACUCCUACGGGAGGCAGCAGUGGGGAAUAUUGGACAAUGGGGGGAACCCUGAUCCAGCCAUGCCGCGUGUGUGAAGAAGGCCUUAUGGUUGUAAAGCACUUUAAGCGAGGAGGAGGCUCUUAUGGUUAAUACCCAAGAUGAGUGGACGUUACUCGCAGAAUAAGCACCGGCUAACUCUGUGCCAGCCGCCGCCGUAA